AACGAACGCUGGCGGCAGGCUUAACACAUGCAAGUCGAGCGCCCCGCAAGGGGAGCGGCAGACGGGUGAGUAACGCGUGGGAAUCUACCCAUCUCUACGGAAUAACGCAUGGAAACGUGUGCUAAUACCGUAUACGUCCUUCGGGAGAAAGAUUUAUCGGAGAUGGAUGAGCCCGCGUUGGAUUAGCUAGUUGGUGGGGUAAAGGCCUACCAGGGCGAGGACCCAUAGCUGGUCUGAGAGGAUGACCAGCCACACUGGGACGGAGACACGGCCCAGACUCCUACGGGAGGCAGCAGUGGGGAAUAUUGGACAAUGGGCGCAAGCCUGAUCCAGCCAUGCCGCGUGAGUGAUGAAGGCCCUAGGGUUGUAAAGCUCUUUCACCGGUGAAGAUAAUGACGGUAACCGGAGAAGAAGCCCCGGCUAACUUCGUGCCAGCCGCCGCCGUAAGAC
rnacentral:rRNA from 1 species